AUACCCUUGGUUCCUUCUCUGUGGGGAAGGCAGGAGGAAGAUGCCCCUCCUCGCCCAGAGCAGGGAUCAGAAUGUGGGACCUUCUCCGUCAUACCCAGAACCAUGGAGACUAGCUGGCACCCCAUUUUUUAAUUCACAAAAUAACAGUCCCCAUAAGAUGUAAUCUUUUUAAGGAAGAAUAGUUUUUGCCCCAGGAGUACAGGAGAGAUUCUAGACUCCUUUUGCCCUUUUCCAAAUUAUCACAGGGAGAUCUGGACCCCGUAGAAUAUUUGAAAGUGCAGAAAAAUGCAAAGAAGCAGAAAAAAUCACCUAUAAUCCUAUCGUUUAAACUUUAUCACAGUGAUGAGUUUGGUAUUUUUCCAUUCUAUUUUUUUUCUCUGUAUUUUUUCAUUAUAUAGUCAAGUUUCUGCAGUCUAUAUCAGCACUAUUCAAAGGAAAUAUGCAAACCACAGGUGUGAACCAUAUAUGUAAUUUAAAAUGCUUCAGAAGCCUCAUUAAAGAAAAAUAAAAACAGGUG
rnacentral:lncRNA from 10 species